ACCAGCAGCCAUAUCACCCUGCAACUCACAACUGGCUGUCCACUGAAGCUAAGCAGGUGUUAGUCUUGUCAGUACCUGGAUGGGAGACCUCCUGGGAAAUAUUAAGGUUCCUGCAGGAA
rnacentral:rRNA from 1 species